rnacentral:rRNA from 1 species
CGGAGGGUGCAAGCGUUAUCCGGUAUUUAUUGGGUUUAAAGGGUCCGGUAGGCGGAUCUGUAAGUCAGUGGUGAAAUCUCAUAGCUUAACUAUGAAACUGCCAUUGAUACUGCAGGUCUUGAGUAAAGUAGAAGUGGCUGGAAUAAGUAGUGUAGCGGUGAAAUGCAUAGAUAUUACUUAGAACACCAAUUGCGAAGGCAGGUCACUAUGUUUUAACUGACGCUGAUGGACGAAAGCGUGGGGAGCGAACAGGAUUAGAUACCCUGGUAGUCCACGCCGUAAACGAUGCUAACUCGUUUUUGGGUCUUUAAGAUUCAGAGACUAAGCGAAAGUGAUAAGUUAGCCACCUGGGGAGUACGUUCGCAAGAAUG